rnacentral:rRNA from 1 species
AUGCAUGCUGUGAAAUUUGGCUAUAGAUGGAACAUAGGGGAUGGGAGCAGAACCAAGUUCUGGGAAGAUACUUGGUUUGGCACAUCCCCCUUAGCAGUCCAAUUUUGGCCUAUUUACUCCGUCCUCAAUGAGCUUAACAAAAGUGUCAAUGAAGUUUGAGACGGUCAAUGCCUAAAACUCUCUUUUAGAAGGAACUUUAGUGAUAGUCUCAUGGAAAAAUGGUUCUAG